CUUUGGAGUGCCAUUUUUGAAUCUCAACAGCGCAAAAGUCUUGCAUUUCAAAUCAGUCCAUCAGAUACAGCCAAUUAUUUUUAGCCCAAGACUAUCUUAAUACAUCAGCUAGGUAUUCUUGUCUUCUUUCCCCGAAAAAAAAAAAAACGCUGUUCCUUACCCCGUUCCCUUUUCAAGCAAAGCUUCAGCAUCCUUAACCAUGGUAGAAGCUUGCCUCGCCGAUUUUGACCGUGACAGAUUUUUGAAAUCAUUCCGAUCGAGGUUAGAAUCUUUUCAUAACAGAGAGAGUAGAUUCGAGACUCGACGCUCCAGUUCACUGCCCCACAACAGGUAAUGUCCGACUUUGUUUCUGAUUCUCCUUAGUUUAAAUGUACUAUUUUUACCUUGAAGAAUCAUGUCUUAGACUCUUUUCUGUUGUUGUGAUAAAAUAUGUUAGUAGAAUUUUGACAUGAUGAAUUUAUCAUUUCGUUUGAUUUAACUAUUUGGAAGAGUAAAUCAUGUUUUAACUUAAGCCUUUUCUUGCCCUUUUUAUAAUAAAUAUGUCGUGUAUAUCUUCUGUGUUCCUUUAGUGUAUUAUGCAUUUUUUGUUUAGAUUUUAACUGCUAGAACUAUUAUUUUAGGAGUAGUAUGGAUUCCACAUAAGAGAGGCUCAUGAUUGGUACAAUACUCUGUGUCAGCAUGUAUCUGUGCUAGUUCUGUACUCCCCUCUUAAUUUUAAGUUUAGGUACUACACUGUUAGAAUUGAUAAUAUAAUUUCUUGUAUCAUGUGCCUUCAUGCUAUUUCUAAGAUCCUCUGUAACUGCACUUGUUUUUAUCUCUAAAGUAACUUUGAAAGAGUUUAUAACAUUUCCUUUUCUGCAACUGAGUUAGUUUAAAUCAUAUUUUAGGAUGUUAUUUAAGUCAGGAAGUUAAUAAUAUUUUUCCUAAAGUGAAACAUUGUUUAAGAAACUUCAUGUUGGUAUAAGUUAGUUUUCCUUAUGUUUCUGGUUAUUAGCACAUGUAGAUAUUUGUUCAAGUAUACGUUUACAAUAUAUAAAAUACUGAUUUGUUUAAGUAUGAGCUUUCAAUAUGUGUGUUUCUUCUCUGAUUGUUACGUCCAUUAAGAAGCAUAUGAUUCUUUCUAACCCAUUCUUUUUCUUUCCUUUUCUUUUCCUUGUUUACAUGACAUGACGGAGCUGCUCUCGAGUUCCACUUUGAGACUCUAUGCCACUGUCUAGAACCGAUGUCUACAUUAUCAUCACUCGCCCUCUCUCCGAAAUAAAUCCGAACAGCAAAAAUGGAUAAAGAGGCGCUGAAACAGGAAUUACAGACGAUGUUAUCCUUCUGUUAGGAGCCAAAUGGGGCUGUUUAUGCAUGCUUGAUUGAUGACUAACAUUUUACUGCGUGGUUAUCUUUUAAUUUCAAUUCUGUCGUUUAUUUAAGUUGCGCUAUUAACUUUACAACCAAGUAUUAGUACGUGAUUACUCACUAUGCCUGCAUUUGAUCACAUAGGAUCUUCGCCUCAAGUUAACAAUGAAUUACUGACUCUAAAGAUCAGUCUUUGUUUUAGUUAAAAUGUCAAUAAUAGAUGCUUUGCGUGGUUCGUUUUUUAA